CUCGAGCCACUUUGUCCCCCUUCUCGAGCCCUUUUUCCCCUUCUCUCAAGCCCUAUUUUCUCAUUGCAACCAUCUGUCACCGUCAUUCUCCCUCUCUGAUUCACACUCGUUGUCGUCAACCCGUCAUUCUCCCUCGGCGAACCUUCUUCUCCCUCAGCGAACCUUCUCCCUCGGCGAACUUUGUUCUUCAUCUUCUAGCCAUUCUGUGUUAGUGGAACUCUAAUUGUGUUCAGCCGAAGGAGAACUCUAAUUGUGUUAGGGGAACCCUCACAAUCGCAGCGUGGUUGUUUUGGCGAUCUGUUAGUGUUCGUUGUUGUGAAGUUCUUCAAUUGGUAAGUAAUGUUUGUUAAUUUGUAAAUACGUUAAUUUUUCAAAUCGAAAAACCCUAAUCAUGUAAUUUUUUUUUGCUGGGCACGAAAUGAUGUGUGGUUUGGAUUAUGAAACCCUUUGGUGCAUUGUGUAGUGAAGAUACAGAGGGCUUUGAAAGGUAUGUUUCGUUUUAUGUGUUUUCUGUUUCAAUAUAUGGAAGUUUCGCACUUUGCCUUUUUUUUACUCCUCACUUUGUAGUAUACUCGAAGCCUUUUCAGAUUUUUAUUGUUGUCUCGUGCAAAAUUCUCCAAAAUCCUAAUUCAACGCUAAUUUUAUUAUAGUUUGUCAUAAAUAAUAAUUCUAUUACCUUUGCUAUCACUCGACUAAGGAACGUGAUUGGAUGUUUCACCACAAUGAUGCCAUCUGGUCUAAACUUUAUGUAAUAACCUUAUUUUCAGCUGAGGCAAUUGACACAUAUGUAAUGUACACAUGUUGUUCGGAAUUAAAGUUGAAUGAGGUGGGAAACGAACAAGAUAUACUUGGCCAUUAAGUAUAGUCAUAUCAAGAUAGAGACAGAUAAUGCAGUCACAUUCUCAUCACUUAGAUUUUAGCCAUCUAGCUAAAGAAGAAUAACUUAAUAACUCUUUGGAAUUUGAGUAGUUUGUGUGAAGUUCAUGGUUUUACUGUGAAGUUGAAACAACAGUGGAUCAUAUAUAAGAAUAAGGAUGUUGAAGAUCCUAUGAUGCUUUUCCAGUUUGGAAGUACCUUUCAAAGGUUGUUCGUGUGGGUUGUGCUAAUGAGUGUCCUUGCCUGCGGCUUUCUUUAACUUUAUUAUUAGUUUGGUUAUCUCAAAUAGGAUCUGAGCAAGUAGACCUAAUUGUCCCAAAUAAAUAAANGAAUAAAAAGAAUAGAUUUUUAGCAAUUUGAUUCGAUGGGCAUGAAUGUCAAACGCAACCUUCUGUGUUAUUCCGGUAUAAUUUUUAAACUUUCGAUAAGUCAUAACAUUUUUCCUUCGAUUUAAUGCAUUAGUAAGACUUUAUUAAAGCUCAUCUUAUAAUAACAUAAUACUUGGAACAAUUUUAUGAAUGUCUUAUGAACAUGUUAUUUCAAUUUGUUCUCCAGAAUAGUUUAUUGAAAUAGUUUACAAUUUAUGUAUGUAAACAGUUUAAACUAAUAUACUGUUGUUUUUAUAGAAAAGUAGUUUAUAUCAGUUUGUGCAUACCAGAGCUUAUCAGUCAGAGUCAGGGGAAACAANUUAAAAGUUUAAGAUACCUGAUGAUAGACCCUUGGAGCCGUUACAGAAGAAAAAGGAUCCAAUCCUUUACUGAAGUGAUUCAAAAGAACCUCUGAAGUUCCACCAAUAAUGUAAGCACCUCCACUUGCACCUACUACAGCUUUUAGCUUCCCAUUCUGUAUGGACAUGGUAAGAAAUCAUUGCAAGAGAACAAUGCGUACCUUAACUAGUAAUAAUGAAAGAUUUCAAAACCAUUGAUGAGGCUGAAAUUGGGCAGUAGUGGAUGACAUAGAUGAUAACAAUGUAGACAAGGAUAACCAAAAUUAAGAGAGUCAGAUCUUGUUAAAGGAUUGGAUACCUUGAGGGCAAUAGUUGGUGACAUGGAUGAUAGUGGCCGCUUUCCUGGCAUGAUGAAAUUAGCAGGAGCUAGUGGUGGGGUAUCCUCGGAAACAUUUCUAGGCAUGGAAAAAUCAUCCAUCUCAUUGUUCAGUACUAUUCCAGUCCUUGGUGAAAGGAUCUUUGAACCAAAAUAUGAAUUUACAGUAGUAGUCAUGGAAAUGGCAUUUCUCUCAAGAUCUAUUACACAUAAAUGACUUGUACCAUGAUCAUGAAUUUGAUUCCACCUGAAAAGACAGUUAAGCAAAACUGAGAAAUCCAUAUGACACAAAUAAUUUUAGUUAGAAUAUUAAUUUUGACCUUGUUUAUUUGGAUCUAUGUAUAUAUUCAAUCUAGUGACCACACAUAAUUUCAUAACACAGAAUGUCAUGUCAAGUUGUCUCAUCUACUUUGAGGAGGAUCAAAAGUACCUCAAAUUAGCCCUCUUAGAGUGGUCCAUUUAUUUAAAGGAUCAUAUAUUUUGUUCCUACCCCAAGGCAUGGUAAUCAUUUCAUUUAAAAACAUAUUAUAUAUAUAUAUAUAUAUAUAUAUAUAUAUAUAUAUAUAUAUAUAUAAUAUUUCACAAAACACAGGCAGAUAUAAUUUUUGUGCAUUAUGACAUUCAUGCAUUGCCUUUUGAUCUUAUUCUGAUUGGUUGCAUAUCUAAACGUGAUUAAUAAAGAUACAUGGUUAAUCAAAUGAAACUUCACACUGCUAGGUUUGAUAAAAUUGAAAAAUCCAUUGNGNAAAUUCAACAAAAAUUAGAUAAUCAAAACUUGGAUAAUGAAUUUUAUGACGAAGAAAUCUUUGGAAGUGAAAGUGAAGAGGAUAUGGAAGAAGAAGGAUGUAUAAACGUUUUAGAUUAGAAUAGACUUUCAAUGUGUACAUUUUCUUUUAUUUUGGAAAUCUUUAAUAUUCAAGCCAUAAGGCUAAUAUAUGUGCUCUAGUUAAUUAGGAUCGUGCUUCGAGUAACAAUACCUUAUUCUAAACAAUACUUUAUAGUUGGUAUUUUGAGUAUGAUGUUGGUUGAUUAUAUAUCUAGUGAGUGGCACUUUAAAUGUUUGAAAAUUGUUGUGGUUAAUACUGAUUGAUCCUUAUAUUCAAAUCUGAAUGUAUGAUUGAAUUGAUCUAUGAUAGCAUUGUGUUUACAUUAGAAUUAUUAGAAAUCUGCAUAUGUUAGAAGAGAAUGUUGGUCCUUUUUAAAAUUAAGUAUUGUUAUAGUGUAUUUCCAUUUUAGAAGGGAAUCUUGGUACUUUUUAAAAUUAAAUUAUUAAAUGACAUUACUUUUAGGAGGAGCUGUCUGCAAAGUUGUUGGAAUUUUUGGAGUCUCCACACGCUACAACUGACAUUCUACUUGCUGAUAUAGAGCAGGUUUGUUCUUUAUACAUUGUUUUAGCCAAUUAACCCUUAUGCAAAUUAUGUUUUGCAUUGUUGUACUAUUG
rnacentral:lncRNA from 1 species